CUAGUUCAGAUUUUAUAUUUAUUGUUUUGGCGAAACAGCAUGUUGCAUUGAUACAGCGGGAUAAAGGUUUCAGGUCACAGUGUAUACACGAACUUCCUGCGUCUUACUCCCGAAAGCAUUCUGAAAAUUUGUCGAUUUUUAGUGCCAGGUUUCGAUAUGCCAAUAGACGAUAGUCAUACUUCCUAAAUUAUUCAAAAGUAUUGCAAAUCAUGGUCUUCUAACUUUGGUUUUGAAUUUGUAAUGUCAUAUAAGCCUUCGGUGGAGAAGGUGGUGUUAAUCCGCGCUGCUUUGCUUGCGUAUUACUAACUACUUAAUAUUAUAUUAUUAUUUUUUUAUUAUUUUCAUCUUUUAUGGUGUUUCAAAAUGAAGACAGCUAGUUUGACACAUUCUUAUGUCCAAUUUUUGAGUAUACUGUACAUAUUGUCACACUCCCUGAAACGACGCACUCGAGCAUUUGGCCAAAAUACAUCUGAUGUUACUGUCGCUGAAAUUGCAAAUAUUACCGAUACCACGGCCAAUACCAUCACAACCAGCGCUAUCAGUACUACCACCACCACAACCGCGAGCUUUGGUGAACUGCACCCGCCAACUUCUGUUCCACUCGUUGAAGCAAACGCAACCACCGGCAAUCCUCUUGGGCUGCCUACUGCUGGCGCAAGCGCCGGUAUUGCUAUCGGAAUAUUGGCUUUUUUGAUCGUAAUCGCUGUGGCGAUGUGGAAACUAGGACCAUGCUGCCAAACACCGGUGCCGACAUGAUUGCGCAAAUUGUUUUCCAUCACUUCUAAGCCCCAUCCAGUGUGAUUGCUUUCCAUUAAAGUUGACGGUCCCUGACAGAAGUCCUACCCUAAUUAAAAAUUUUACCCUGUAAAUCCAAGCUGCUCUCUACCAACGCACGCUCACGUGCAUUUUUUUUAGUUUACGAGUGGUUUAAUGCAGCUGCUUGCCUGUUUGUUGUUGUUUGACAAACGAAUAGCCUUACUUAUCAGCAGCAUCUCCUGCUUCUGCUUUUCUUUCUUUUUCUGCCGUCAUCAGGCUGAGACUCCACUUGAGUCCCCUCUUCCGAUGCCCCCAGGGGUGUCUGUAAAUAAAGGUCAGUUACGGGUAAAAGUAUAUAAAAGCGCGCGAAUGGUUA